AGUGAACGCUGGCGGUAGGCCUAACACAUGCAAGUCGAACGGCAGCACAGUAAGAGCUUGCUCUUACGGGUGGCGAGUGGCGGACGGGUGAGGAAUACAUCGGAAUCUACUUUUUCGUGGGGGAUAACGUAGGGACACUUACGCUAAUACCGCAUACGACCUACGGGUGAAAGCAGGGGAUCUUCGGACCUUGCGCGAUUGAAUGAGCCGAUGUCGGAUUAGCUAGUUGGCGGGGUAAGGGCCCACCAAGGCGACGAUCCGUAGCUGGUCUGAGAGGAUGAUCAGCCACACUGGGACUGAGACACGGUCCAGACUCCUACGGGAGGCAGCAGUGGGGAAUAUUGGACAAUGGGCGCAAGCCUGAUCCAGCCAUACCGCGUGGGUGAAGAAGGCCUUCGGGUUGUAAAGCCCUUUUGUUGGGAAAGAAAAGCAGCAGGUUAAUACCCCGCUGUUCUGACGGUACCCAAAGAAUAAGCACCGGCUAACUUCGUG
rnacentral:rRNA from 1 species